CCAGGAGUUCCUGAGGAGUCCAGGACAGGGAGUGAGGGCUCGGAAACGGCGGACGGCACGAUCCCGGCCGAGGACGGCGUCCAGCCAGGAGUUCCUGAGGAGUCCAGGACAGGGAGUGAGGGUGAGGA